rnacentral:rRNA from 2 species
UAGGGAAUCUUAGUCAAUGGGCGAAAGCCUGAACUAGCGACGUCGCGUGUGCGAUGAAGGCCUUAGGGUUGUAAAGCACUGUCGUGCGGGACGAUAAUGACGGUACCGCACAAGAAAGGACCGGCCAACUUCGUGCCAGCAGCCGCGGUAAUACGAGGGGUCCUAGCGUUGUUCGGAAUUACUGGGCGUAAAGUGGGUGCAGGCGGGCUAUUAAGUCAGAUGUGAAAUUCUGGAGCUUAACUUCAGAAUUGCAUUUGAUACUGGUAGCCUUGAGUAUUGGAGAGGAUAGUAGAAUUCUUGGUGUAGUGGUGGAAUACGUAGAUACCAGGAGGAAUACCAGUGGCGAAGGCGACUAUCUGGCCAAAUACUGACGCUCAGGCCCUAAAGCGUGGGGAGCAAACAGG